UUUUCUCAUUCUUAACCUCUCCAGGCAGCAAAAUUUCACAAUGUAAGAAAUAGGCUCAGGACAAGCAUCACAUCCAAGCAAGAAGGUCUUUGCAAGAGCCCAACACCUCGAUAUUGGACUUACCAGCCUCCAGAAUUAAUCCAAUAUCAUGUAGGCACAUGAGGAAGCCUAUAUGGAAGACAAUUGAGACCUCAGCUAAAUUCCCAGUCAGUAACCAGCACCAACCUGCUAGCUGUGUGAGGGAACCAUCUUGGAAAUGGAUUCUCCAGCCCUCUUCAAGAGUC